rnacentral:rRNA from 1 species
ACGAUGAAGGGGGAGCUUGCUUCCCUGGAUUAGUGGCGAACGGGUGAGUAACACGUGAGCAAUCUGCCCUUGACUCUGGGAUAAGCGCUGGAAACGGCGUCUAAUACCGGAUACGAGCUGCGAAGGCAUCUUCAGCAGCUGGAAAGAACUUCGGUCAAGGAUGAGCUCGCGGCCUAUCAGCUUGUUGGUGAGGUAAUGGCUCACCAAGGCGACGACGGGUAGCCGGCCUGAGAGGGUGACCGGCCACACUGGGACUGAGACACGGCCCAGACUCCUACGGGAGGCAGCAGUGGGGAAUAUUGCACAAUGGGCGCAAGCCUGAUGCAGCAACGCCGCGUGAGGGAUGACGGCCUUCGGGUUGUAAACCUCUUUUAGCAGGGAAGAAGCGAGAGUGACGGUACCUGCAGAAAAAGCACCGGCUAACUACGUGCCAGCCGCC